rnacentral:rRNA from 1 species
UGGGGAAUAUUGGACAAUGGGUGCAACCCUGAUCCAGCGACGCCGCGUGUGUGAAGAAGGCCUGCGGGUUGUAAAGCACUUUUAGUGGGGAGGAAGGCCGCCGACCUAAUACGUCGGAGGAUUGACUUAACCCACAGAAAAAGCACCGGCUAACUCUGUGCCAGCAGCCGCGGUAAUACAGAGGGUGCGAGCGCUAUUCGGAAUUACUGGGCGUAAAGCGUGCGUAGGCGGUUUCGUAAGUCGGGUGUGAAAGCCCCGGGCUCAAGCUGGGAAUGGCAUUCGAGACUGCAGAGCUGGAGUGCGGAAGAGGGAAG